rnacentral:rRNA from 1 species
UACGUAGGGACCGAGCGUUGUCCGGAAUUACUGGGCGUAAAGAGCUCGUAGGUGGUUUGUCGCGUUGUUCGUGAAAACUCACAGCUCAACUGUGGGCGUGCGGGCGAUACGGGCAGACUAGAGUACUGCAGGGGAGACUGGAAUUCCUGGUGUAGCGGUGGAAUGCGCAGAUAUCAGGAGGAACACCGGUGGCGAAGGCGGGUCUCUGGGCAGUAACUGACGCUGAGGAGCGAAAGCGUGGGGAGCGAACAGG